UACGUAGGGGGCAAGCGUUGUCCGGAUUUAUUGGGCGUAAAGAGCGUGUAGGCGGCCAUGUAGGUCCGUUGUGAAAACUCGAGGCUCAACCUCGAGACGCCGAUGGAAACCAUGUGGCUAGAGUCCGGAAGAGGAGAGUGGAAUUCCUGGUGUAGCGGUGAAAUGCGCAGAUAUCAGGAGGAAUACCGAUGGCGAAGGCAGGUCUCUGGGCUGACACUGACGCUCAUGCACGAAAGCGUGGGGAGCAAACAGG
rnacentral:rRNA from 1 species